CGGACCUCACGCUAUCAGAUGAGCCUAGGUCGGAUUAGCUAGUUGGUGGGGUAAAGGCCUACCAAGGCGACGAUCCGUAACUGGUCUGAGAGGAUGAUCUGUCACACUGGAACUGAGACACGGUCCAGACUCCUACGGGAGGCAGCAGUGGGGAAUAUUGGACAAUGGGCGAAAGCCUGAUCCAGCCAUGCCGCGUGUGUGAAGAAGGUCUUCGGAUUGUAAAGCACUUUAAGUUGGGAGGAAGGGCAGUAAGUUAAUACCUUGCUGUUUUGACGUUACCAACAGAAUAAGCACCGGCUAACUUCGUGCCAGCAGCCGCGGUAAUACGAAGGGUGCAAGCGUUAAUCGGAAUUACUGGGCGUAAAGCGCGCGUAGGUGGUUCAGCAAGUUGGAUGUGAAAUCCCCGGGCUCAACCUGGGAACUGCAUCCAAAACUACUGAGCUAGAGUACGGUAGAGGGUGGUGGAAUUU
rnacentral:rRNA from 1 species